UACGGAGGGGGCUAGCGUUGUUCGGAAUUACUGGGCGUAAAGCGCGCGUAGGCGGAUCUGCAAGUCGGGGGUGAAAUCCCGAGGCUCAACCUCGGAACUGCCUUCGAUACUGCGGGUCUCGAGUCCGGGAGAGGUGAGUGGGAAUUCCUAGUGUAGAGGUGAAAUUCGUAGAUAUUAGGAAGAACACCAGUGGCGAAGGCGGCUCACUGGGCCCGGUACUGACGCUGAGGCGCGAAAGCGUGGGGAGCAAACAG
rnacentral:rRNA from 1 species